rnacentral:rRNA from 1 species
UGCCAGCCGCCGCGGUAAUACGGAGGGGGCUAGCGUUGUUCGGAAUUACUGGGCGUAAAGCGCAUGUAGGCUGAUUGACAAGUUAGAUGUGAAAUCCCUGGGCUUAACCCAGGAACUGCAUUUAAAACUAGCGAUCUAGAAUUUGGUAGAGGAUAGUAGAAUUUCCAGUGUAGAGGUGAAAUUCGUAGAUAUUGGAAAGAAUACCAGUGGCGAAGGCGACUAUCUGGGCCAUUUUUGACGCUGAGAUGCGAAAGCGUGGGUAGCAAACAGGAUUAGAUA